CUGCCUCUGGUGACCUAAGC
rnacentral:piRNA from 1 species